AGAGUUUGAUCCUGGCUCAGAAUGAACGUUGGCGGCGUGGAUUAGGCAUGCAAGUCGAGCGAGAACCCAGCAAUGGGGGACAGCGGCGAAAGGGACAGUAAUGUGUAGAUCAUCUGCCCUCAGGCCCGGGAUAGCUGCGGGAAACUGCAGGUAAUACCGGAUAAUAUCUCCGGAUCAAAGGUGUGAUUCCGCCUGGGGAUGAGUCUACAUCCUAUUAGCUAGUUGGUGGGGUAAUGGCCUACCAAGGCGAUGAUGGGUAGCGGGUGUGAGAGCACGACCCGCGUCAUUGGGACUGAGACACUGCCCAGACACCUACGGGUGGCUGCAGUCGAGAAUCUUCGGCAAUGGGCGCAAGCCUGACCGAGCGACGCCGCGUGCGGGAUGAAGGCCUUCGGGUUGUAAACCGCUGUCAGAGGGGAUGAAAUGCAGGUGGGUUCUCCCAUCUGUUUGACAUAGCCUCAGAGGAAGGACGGGCUAAGUUCGUGCCAGCAGCCGCGGUAAGACGAACCGUCCAAACGUUAUUCGGAAUUACUGGGCUUAAAGGGUGCGUAGGCGGCGCGGAAAGUUGGGUGUGAAAUCCCUCGGCUCAACCGAGGAACUGCGCUCAAUACUACCGUGCUCGAGGGAGAUAGAGGUGAGCGGAACUUAGGGUGGAGCGGUGAAAUGCGUUGAUAUCCUAAGGAACACCGGUGGCGAAAGCGGCUCACUGGAUCUCUUCUGACGCUGAGGCACGAAAGCUAGGGUAGCAAACGGGAUUAGAUACCCCGGUAGUCCUAGCCGUAAACGAUGAGCACUGGAUUGAAGGGUCCUCCAUAGCCUUUCAGUCGCAACGAAAGCGUUAAGUGCUCCGCCUGGGGAGUAUGGUCGCAAGGCUGAAACUCAAAUGAAUUGACGGV
rnacentral:rRNA from 1 species